GAAGGCUCUUCGGGGUACUCGAGUGGCGAACGGGUGAGUAAGCACGUGGGUGAUCUGCCCUGCACUUUGGGAUAAGCCUGGGAAACUGGGUCUAAUACCGAAUAGGACCACGCGCUCGNUCAUGGUGUGUGGUGGAAAGCUUUUGCGGUGUGGGAUGGGCCCGCGGCCUAUCAGCUUGUUGGUGGGGUAAUGGCCUACCAAGGCGACGACGGGUAGCCGGCCUGAGAGGGUGACCGGCCACACUGGGACUGAGAUACGGCCCAGACUCCUACGGGAGGCAGCAGUGGGGAAUAUUGCACAAUGGGCGCAAGCCUGAUGCAGCGACGCCGCGUGAGGGAUGACGGCCUUCGGGUUGUAAACCUCUUUCAAUAGGGACGAAGCGCAAGUGACGGUACCUAUAGAAGAAGCACCGGCCAACUACGUGCCAGCAGCCGCGGUAAUACGUAGGGUGCGAGCGUUGUCCGGAAUUACUGGGCGUAAAGAGCUCGUAGGUGGUUUGUCGCGUUGUUCGUGAAAACUCACAGCUUAACUGUGGGCGUGCGGGCGAUACGGGCAGACUAGAGUACUGCAGGGGAGACUGGAAUUCCUGGUGUAGCGGUGGAAUGCGCAGAUAUCAGGAGGAACACCGGUGGCGAAGGCGGGUCUCUGGGCAGUAACUGACGCUGAGGAGCGAAAGCGUGGGGAGCGAACAGGAUUAGAUACCCUGGUAGUCCACGCCGUAAACGGUGGGUACUAGGUGUGGGUUCCUUCCUUGGGAUCCGUGCCGUAGCUAACGCAUUAAGUACCCCGCCUGGGGAGUACGGCCGCAAGGCUAAAACUCAAAGGAAUUGACGGGGGCCCGCACAAGCGGCGGAGCAUGUGGAUUAAUUCGAUGCAACGCGAAGAACCUUACCUGGGUUUGACAUGCACAGGACGCCGGCAGAGAUGUCGGUUCCCUUGUGGCCUGUGUGCAGGUGGUGCAUGGCUGUCGUCAGCUCGUGUCGUGAGAUGUUGGGUUAAGUCCCGCAACGAGCGCAACCCUUGUCCUAUGUUGCCAGCGGGUUAUGCCGGGGACUCGUAGGAGACUGCCGGGGUCAACUCGGAGGAAGGUGGGGAUGACGUCAAGUCAUCAUGCCCCUUAUGUCCAGGGCUUCACACAUGCUACAAUGGCCGGUACAAAGGCNAUNGCUGCGAUGCCGUAAGGUGGAGCGAAUCCUUUCAAAGCCGGUCUCAGUUCGGAUCGGGGUCUGCAACUCGACCCCGUGAAGUCGGAGUCGCUAGUAAUCGCAGAUCAGCAACGCUGCGGUGAAUACGUUCCCGGGCCUUNAGUACACACCGCCCGUCACGUCAUGAAAGUCGGUAACACCCGAAGCCGGU
rnacentral:rRNA from 1 species